UGAUGAAUAUAUUUGACUAGAGUUUCUGAUCUUUAUGAUUACAUAACCCUUAGCUGCCUGA
rnacentral:snoRNA from 14 species